ACUAUCGUGGCCAAGUGGUUAUGGCAUUAGAUUUAAAAUCUAAUGGGUGAACAACCCUCACAGGUUCGAAUCCUGUUGAUAGUA